CUGACAGUCCACAACAAGCAGGAUAUCAUGGUCAUUCCUAAAAAACACAAAUGGGGUUGAUUGAUUUUGCUUAAUUAAUCAUCCUGCUACCAAAAAAUUACCUCUGCUUGCCAUAUAUUCUCCGUAUUCUCUUCUGCAUUAAUAAAAUGGAAUGAAGUUUUUGUACUUCCCUCUGUUUCAGAACCUAGACUAGCUACAAAAACUUCAUUCCAUUUUAUUAAUGCAUUUUAUUAAUACCUUAUAAUCACUAACAUGAAGCAAAGGACAAGAUACAUG
rnacentral:misc_RNA from 1 species